rnacentral:lncRNA from 1 species
UACACGUUACUCUAGGACCCUUGCAAAUGAAAGUCUUAAGAGCUCUACAAUGAUUUGUGAAGAAAAUUAAAGACACACAAUUUAUAGGAAGAAAAUUUAUAGGAAGAAAAAUUUCAGAGGAGCCAGAGAGAAGUUAUCAUUCAAGACCUGAAAUGGAAGAGAAGAAAAAAAAAAAAAAGAAGAAGAAGAAAGUGGAAGGAAAGAAGGAAGAAAACAGCCAAUUAUUCAUUCAUUAAGUAUACACACCAAGUAUGUGUCUGGUUCCAUAAAGAUAAGAUUAAUAUCCAAUGUUUUCUUUCUGUAGUCUCAUUGCUUUGUUGUUUUCAUUGUUCAGUAGCUAAUUUGUGCCUGUUCUUUGUGACCUCAUGGAUUGCAGCAUGCCAAGCUGGACUUGAUCAUUGG